rnacentral:RNase_P_RNA from 1 species
AAUGGUGAGUAGUCGCGGUUCCUUUUUAAGGAGCUGAGGAAAGUCCAGGCUCGCACAGUGCUGAGAUGCCUGUAGUGUUCGUGCCAUCUGCAAGGGUGGGCAGUCGAUUCACAAUCGGCUGACGGCGGUGAAAUCAUGCUAAGUCCUUCGAGAUAUGCUGAGAGUAGCCUGAAAGUGCCACAGUGACGAUGCUUCUCUGGAAACGGAAAAGGUGGAACGGGUAAACCCCACGAGCGAGCAACCCAAAUUAGGUAGGGGCAUCAUCUUGCGGGAAAUGAACCUAAC